rnacentral:rRNA from 1 species
GAAAGCGCGGGGUAUCGAACAGGAUUAGAUACCCUGGUAGUCCGCGCAGUAAACGAUGGACGCUAGCUGUCCGGCCCGAACGAGGGCUGGGUGGCACAGCGAAAGCGUUAAGCGUCCCACCUGGGGAGUACGCCGGCAACGGUGAAACUCAAAGGAAUUGACGGGGGCCCGCACAAGCGGAGGAACAUGUGGUUUAAUUCGAUGAUACGCGAGGAACCUUACCCGGGCUCAAACGCCGCAGGAACCGCCCCUGAAAGGGGGCGGGCCAGCAAUGGCCUGCGGCGAGGUGCUGCAUGGUUGUCGUCAGCUCGUGCCGUGAGGUGUCGGCUUAAGUGCCAUAACGAGCGCAACCCCCACCGACAGUUGCUAACUGGUCAAGCAGAGGACUCUGUCGGGACUGCCGGCGCAAGCUGCGAGGAAGGCGGGGAUGACGUCAAAUCAGCACGGCCCCUACGUCCGGGGCGACACACGUGUUACAAUGGCGGGUACAGCGGGAAGCCACCUGGCGACAGGGCGCGGAACCCGAAAACCCGUCUCAGUUCGGAUCGGAGUCUGCAACCCGACUCCGUGAAGCUGGAUUCGCUAGUAAUCGCGCAUCAGCCACGGCGCGGUGAAUACGUUCCCGGGCCUUGCACUCACCGCCCGUCAAG